CUUACCCAAACCUUAUAUAAGUCCCUGUUCCCCCUAAUAAAGUGGCAUUGCACCCCUGACCUUCAACUGAGUCCGAACCCUUUUGUGCAGAUCAGAAGAG